rnacentral:rRNA from 1 species
GAUGAACGCUAGCGACAGGCCUAACACAUGCAAGUCGAGGGGCAGCAUAAAGGUAGCAAUACUUUGGUGGCGACCGGCGCACGGGUGAGUAACACGUAUGCAACCUACCUGUAAGAGGGGAAUAACCCGGAGAAAUUCGGACUAAUACCGCAUAAUACUGAUUAUCUGCAUGGAUUGAUCAGUUAAACAUUUAUGGCUUACAGAUGGGCAUGCGUAUGAUUAGAUAGUUGGUAAGGUAACGGCUUACCAAGGCGACGAUCAGUAGCCGACCUGAGAGGGUGACCGGCCACACUGGAACUGAGACACGGUCCAGACUCCUACGGGAGGCAGCAGUGGGGAAUUUUGGACAAUGGGCGCAAGCCUGAUCCAGCAAUGCCGCGUGCAGGAUGAAGGCCUUCGGGUUGUAAACUGCUUUAGUGCGGGAGCAAUAAGGUCCACGAGUGGACCGAUGAGAGUACCGCAAGAAUAAGCAAGUCGGCUAACCUCCGUACG